UGAUUUCCAAGAAGCCUGAUAGAGAUAGAUACAUCCAGGUUAAGGCCUGCUGUCAGCAGGAACAUGGAGCACUCCAUGUCAAUGUCAGUGCUACAGACAGAAUAUUCCAAGGACCUCCAGAGCCUUCUGACCAACUACCUGCGAUCUCUCCAGAGCACAGAGAAGUAGUAGUAUACUCAUAAUAGUAUACUUAUGCACCUUCACUGUUGCUGUCUGUGUGAUAUAGCAUCUAAUCAAGGGUCACUGGUUGGAUUUAUUGUACUCAAUUCAAGACUCAUGCUCUCUCCUCCCUCUAAAAGUCUCCCAGAUUUAAUAAAAACUAACAUGUCUUUCCCCCUGUCCCCAGGUGAGUCUGCUGGGCAAUGGAACUCUAGAGCAGUACAUCAAAAAACAUGCCACCCUGUUGUCAGCUCUCAGCAGGUCGUUCUCUGAGGAAGGGUGCAAUGGUCAAGGCUUUCAAUGGCCGAAUUUGGGGAUGAUUAAUGCAAUAAAGCUGUGUAUAAACUGUG